GACGAACGCUGGCGGCGUGCUUAACACAUGCAAAUCGAACGGAAAGGCCCUGCUUUUGUGGGGUGCUCGAGUGGCGAACGGGUGAGUAACACGUGAGUAACCUGCCCUUGACUUUGGGAUAACUUCAGGAAACUGGGGCUAAUACCGGAUAGGAGCUCCUGCUGCAUGGUGGGGGUUGGAAAGUUUCGGCGGUUGGGGAUGGACUCGCGGCUUAUCAGCUUGUUGGUGGGGUAGUGGCUUACCAAGGCUUUGACGGGUAGCCGGCCUGAGAGGGUGACCGGCCACAUUGGGACUGAGAUACGGCCCAGACUCCUACGGGAGGCAGCAGUGGGGAAUAUUGCACAAUGGGCGGAAGCCUGAUGCAGCAACGCCGCGUGCGGGAUGACGGCCUUCGGGCUGUAAACCGCUUUCGCCUGUGACGAAGCGUGAGUGACGGUAAUGGGUAAAGAAGCACCGGCUAACUACGUG
rnacentral:rRNA from 1 species